rnacentral:rRNA from 1 species
UCCACAGCCGUAUCACCCUGUAGCCCAAGACUGGUUGCCCACUGAAGCUAAGCAGGGUUGAGCCUGGCCAGUACCUGGAUGGGAGACGUCCUGGGAAAACUAGGUUGCUGCUGGAA